rnacentral:lncRNA from 1 species
CCACAACCUCCGACAAAAUUUUCGGUGAACUGGGAUGAAGCCGGAGAGUGCGACACAUACCAGAGGAUGAAAGCAAGCCACUUGAAAGUAGCAUGUACUCUUCAACACUACCUAUACCCUCUUGGUGAGAGGAUAUCAGCAUGGAUUUUAUUGUUGGUUUGCCAAAUAUCUCUCAAAGGCAUGAUUUCAUCUGGGUCAUCGUGGAUAGGCUCACCAAGACGGCACACUCUCUCCCUGUCUGAACAAACUAUCCAACCCAGAAAUAUGCCGAGCUAUGACGGCGUCCGGAGGUCACUCGCCGUCUUUUCCGCGGUGAUACUCUAUGUAUUGAUGGCGUCCACUUUUGUAAUCAGCUUCACCUGCUCCAACUGCAGCUUCUUGACCUCCUGGACCAGGAGAUCGAUUUUCUCCUCUGUCGAUGCCAUACGAUAGGUGAGGGUCGGCGCUCUCGGUUUCUUCGCUUGCUGUGACGGUUGUGGUGGCAGGGGUGGCGGUGGUGGUGGUGUACUGGGCGACGGAGUAUGUGGCAGUAUGGUGGCGGCGGUGGUGGUGGUGGAAGUGGCCUUUGCCGGGGCUUGCAGCUUGUUUUGCGGUGGCGCCAGGUCGAAUCCGGCGGUGUAGUUGCUCCGAUUGGCUCUGGUACCGGAUGUCACGGACCACGAUGGCUGUAGGGAGGAAAAGGGGCGCCGGCGUCGCGCGCGGCAAGAGAACGGCGGCGCCGCCUCUGGAAGAACGGAGGAAAAAGGAGAUAGUUCAGUUUAGGUUUCUCGUUCGUUUCCAUGCCUGUUCGCGUC